rnacentral:rRNA from 1 species
GAAUAUUGGACAAUGGGCGAAAGCCUGAUCCAGCCAUGCCGCGUGUGUGAAGAAGGCCUUCGGAUUGUAAAGCACUUUAAGUUGGGAGGAAGGGCAGUAAGCGAAUACGUUGCUGUUUUGACGUUACCGACAGAAUAUGCACCGGCCAACCCUGCGCCAGACGCCGCGGUAAGACAGAGGGUGCAAGCGUUAGUCGGAAGGACUGGGCGUAAAGGGCGCGUAGGUGGUUCGUUAAGUUGGAUGUGAAAUCCCCGGGCUCAACCUGGGAACUGCAUCCAAAACUGGCGAGCUAGAGUAGGGCAGAGGGUAGUGGAAUUUCCUGUGUAGCGGUGAAAUGCGUAGAUAUAGGAAGGAACACCAGUGGCGAAGGCGACCACCUGGGCUAAUACUGACACUGAGGUGCGAAAGCGUGGGGAGCAAACAGG